rnacentral:rRNA from 1 species
AACGAACGCUGGCGGCAUGCCUAACACAUGCAAGUCGAACGAGACCUUCGGGUCUAGUGGCGCACGGGUGCGUAACGCGUGGGAACCUGCCCUUAGGUUCGGAAUAACUCCCCGAAAGGGGUGCUAAUACCGGAUAAUGUCUUCGGACCAAAGAUUUAUCGCCUUUGGAUGGGCCCGCGUUGGAUUAGCUAGUUGGUAGGGUAAGAGCCUACCAAGGCGACGAUCCAUAGCUGGUCUGAGAGGCUGAGCAGCCACACUGGGACUGGGACACGGCCCAGACUCCUACGCGAGGCAGCAGUGGGGAAUAGUGGACAAUGGGCGAAGUCCUGAUCCAGCAAUGCCGCGUGAGUGAUGAAGGCCUGAGAGUUGUAAAGCUCUUUUACCCGGGAUGAUAAUGACAGUACCGGGACAAUAAGCUCCGGCUAACUCCGUG